ensembl:lncRNA
ACUUAGUAAUAGGGGUUGUGACAUCAAUGUUCUUACUCUAUUUAAAAGAACCAACCGACUGGGUAUAACUCAUUGUCUUUGCAUCGUCACACCUGAUCAACUGCUGAAAUUGACUGACUCGAAGAACUGACCACCAAGAUGAUGAUGAAGACUGUAAUCUUUCUGGGCUGCCUCCUGGGCCUGUCAUUGGCUCUUCCUGUGAGUUUAGCAAAUAUCAACAUACAAUAUAUUUGCCCCAAAAUAUAUAAUAUUCUUCAUUAUAUCAUAUUUGAUGUAUAGUUAUUUUAGUAUAUACUGUAUAAAUAAAUACAUAUGCAUAUUUAAAUAAUAAAAUUAUACUUUUUCAGGCUGAUGUGGAUCAUUUGAGAGUUGCACGUUCCAGCUCUGACUCCAACUCUAACUCAAACUCCAGGGAGGCUGGUUCCUUUCUGCCCUCCCUGCCACAGUUGAAUUCAAAUCAGCUACUUCAACUUCUACUUAAACUGUUUGCUGCCUCUGUCCCAGCACCAGCCCCUGCCCCAGCCCCUGCCCCAGCCCCUGCCCCCUGCCCCAGCCCCUGCCCCCCCAGCCCCAGCCCCAGCCCCUGCCCCUGCCCCAGCCCCUGCACCAGCCCCUGCCCCUGCACCAGCCCCUGCCCCAGGUGGACGUUAAACAGGUGAAAAGUACUACUUAAACAGUUUUUGGGGGUAUCUGUACUUUACUUUACUAUAUAUAUAUUUCUGACAACUUUUACUUUUGCUUCACAAAAUUCCUGAAGAAAAUAAUGUACAUUUUACCCCAUACAUUGUCCUUGACAUCCAAAAAUUACCUUUUGAAUGCUUAGCAGGACAGGAAAAUGGAUAAAUUCAUACGCUUAUCAAGAGAACAUCCCUGGUCAUCCCUACUGUCUCUGAUCUGGUGGACUCACAAAACACAAAUGCUUAGUUUAUAAAGAUGUCUGAGUGUUGGAGUGUACCCCUGGCUAUCCGUAAAUAAAGUAAACAAGAAAAUGGUGGCGGUCUGGUUUGUUUAAUAUAAGGUUUUUGUAAUGAUUUAUACUUUUACUGUUGAGUAUAUCUGAGCAAUUACAUAAAACUUUUGAUACUUAAGUAUAUUUAAAACCAAAUACUUUUAGACUUUUACUCAAGUUGUAUUUAACUGGGUAACUUUAUUUUCUAUUAAGGUAUUUUUACUUUCACUCAAGUAUGACAAUUGGGUACCUUUCCCAACACUGGAUUCCCCAAACAUUAUAAGUACAAUGUAUAUCCUUUAAAUUCAUUAAUUCACUUUUCAGUCGAUCAGGUAUUUCAUGGAACUCCCAGACAUUGACUAUGAAGUGUGAUUCCUUUAUGCAUUUCUGUUUAAUAAACACAUUAAUAUUUCAAGCUCAAUUGUAUGUCUGUCCAGUCCUCUGAUGAAUGCUCAUUAAGUUUAUGGAAAUUGUGAGAAAUCUAUGCAAAGUGUGUUACAUUACAUUGCGUUAUUUAAUUAAAAAAAAAAAUGUUGUCCAUUAUAUUGCAUGACAGGAGAAAUCAAAAUAAAGUCUGGUACUUGAGCUAUAUUGUAUAAAUUGAGAAAUUAAAGUUAAACAUUACAAUUAAAUGUGUUCAUUUAGCCUCCGCAAUGCCCCAAAACAGGUAGACAAAUAAUCG